UACUGUAUUAUUCCACUGCAUGCAUCCGAUGAAUUGGGUAUUUAACCAUGAAAGCUCAUGCUCCAAUACAUCUGUUAGUCUGUAAGGUGCCACAGGACUCUGCU